AACUGGAGGAAAAAGACGCUGCAAAAAUUCAAUGUGUCUGGAGUUGACGUUGGUGGAGGAUUGCUGCCCUCUGCUGGACUGCAUAGAUAUGACAACUCUUCCAGCUCUCUGGUGCCACCUGAUGGCAGAAGAGGUCAUGUCACACAAAGGAAUGCUAUACAGCGAUAAGCACAGACGCCUUGAAACUGCACCCAACAACAUGGCUGAUGCCCACAAGCAUGGCACGGCAUGGAAGCAGGCUUCACAGAUGUGACUGCAAGCGACUGCUUGCGUCAUGAAGCAGACACGUGUGCAUGUCAAGCACGGUUGGAGCACUCCCUGCUCUGUCCCGUUGCUCUUUUUCCUCUGGUACAGGGAAGGAAAGCGGGU